rnacentral:tRNA from 1 species
UCAGGCCUGGGCGGCCGUCGCCGCGGCUUUGGCGGCCGCCCGGGCCCGUGACCGCACCACCCGCUCGGUCCGGAUGGCCCGGC